AUACGUGGGUGGCAAGCGUUGUCCGGAUUUAUUGGGCGUAAAGCGAGCGCAGGCGGUUUCUUAAGUCUGAUGUGAAAGCCCCCGGCUCAACCGGGGAGGGUCAUUGGAAACUGGGAGACUUGAGUGCAGAAGAGGAGAGUGGAAUUCCAUGUGUAGCGGUGAAAUGCGUAGAUAUAUGGAGGAACACCAGUGGCGAAGGCGACUCUCUGGGCUGUAACUGACGCUGAGGAUCGAAAGCGUGGGGAGCAAACAGGAUUAGAUACCCUGGUAGUCCACGCCGUAAACGAUGAGUGCUAAGUGUUGGAGGGUUUCCGCCCUUCAGUGCUGCAGCUAACGCAUUAAGCACUCCGCCUGGGGAGUACGACCGCAAGGUUGAAACUCAAAUGAAUUGACGGGG
rnacentral:rRNA from 1 species